UUAAUUUGUUUUUAAAUAUUUUCUUGGCUGGGCACGGUGGCUCAUGCCUGUAACUCAGCACUUUGGGAGGCCGAGGUGGGUGGAUCUCCUGAGGUCAGGAGUUCGAGGCCAGCCUGGCCAACAAGGUGAAACCCCGUCUCUACUAAAAACACAAAAAUUAGCUGGGCGUGGUGGCUGGCGCUUGUAAUUCCAGCUACUUGAGAGGCUGAGGCGAGAGAAUCGCUUGAACCUGGGAGGCGGAGGUUACAGUGAGCCGAGAUCAUGCCACUGCACUCCAGGCUGGAGACAAAAAAAAAAAAAUUUUCCUGACUUUCACCUCUGUUUUUCAGAGGGCACAAAUUGUUCUUGUAUUGUUUCUAUUUUACAUUUUUUUCCUGAAGUUAUUUUCCAAUUGUUUUCAUUCUUUCUGAAGUUAUGUUCGCUCAGUUUUGAGUUUUUGUAAUUUUGAUAGAUUUCUUUCGUGCUUUCAUUUUCUUAAUGACUUUUACCUCAUUUUUAAAACAAAUCCAUAAUAUGGCCUUGAAUCCUUAGCCACCAGCUGUGUGCCCUUCAGGGUUCUGUGGUUCCUGGUUCCAGAGAGAUCACGUGCUCCAGUGUAACGAGUGAAGAGUUCUUUAAGUGAUGGCUGCUGGGCCCAGCUUUGCUGUUGUCUUUGCUGUCUGGUAAAAAGAGAAAAGAAAGACAUUCUUGAUUUUGGUGACUAGAGUUGUAGAUGCUGGAAAGGUUUGCCACUAAAAUUGAUGAACCAGAUGCACGUCACCAGCCAAUCACGCUGAUUCUUAAUGCCGGCACCGUGGCCUGGCACUGUCACGUUUUCCAAGGAACCUGCUGAAGCUCCUGCAGAAGCUGCUCCUCGGGCCAAUGCAGCCCCUUAGCUGGCAGUCCCUUCUGUAGUCACCACAGGAUGCCUGCCAUUCGUGAAGAGGAAGGAGAGGACGGGCUUUGAAUGAAAAACAGAUUUGUUCUGUGGCCUAAAAUGUGGUCUAUCCUGGAGAAUGGUUUGUGAGCUGAUGAGAAGAACCAUGUUCUGCAGUUGACUUAAAGCCUAUUUUGUGUGACAAGCAUAGCAGUGGUGACACCUUUCAUUUAUCAUCUUCACUGAAUCUCACUUCCUCCCAUUUACCAAAAUGUCUACUUUUGAGCCACGGCACCUCUUUGAAUCUUCAGAUCCACCAUAUGGUGAUGAAGCCUUCCUUGUUAUCUGUACUCUGAAGGAAUCCGAAACAGGCAUUUUUACAAGUCUAGGAAGGAAACAAAUCUGUAUGUCAGAAGAAUGAACAUAGAAAAUAAUGUGUCCUGGUUAACAAAAGUUCUCGUUGUAAAGUGUUACGCACAAGAUUAUGAAGUUUUAUGUGCCAUAAAUGAAGUUGUCUUGAUCCAAAACUACAUUUUGUCUAAAACUACUUUUAAAAAUUACAUGUGACUCUAAUAAAGUUAUUUGUAAGAG